rnacentral:rRNA from 1 species
UACGAAGGGUGCAAGCGUUACUCGGAAUUACUGGGCGUAAAGGGUGCGUAGGUGGUUGUUUAAGUCUGUUGUGAAAGCCCCGGGCUCAACCUGGGAAUGGCAAUGGAUACUGGACAGCUAGAGUGCGGUAGAGGGUAGUGGGAAUUCCCGGUGUAGCAGUGAAAUGCGUAGAGAUCGGGAGGAACACCAGUGGCGAAGGCGGCUACCUGGACCAGCACUGACACUGAAGCACGAAAGCGUGGGAGCAACAGG